rnacentral:rRNA from 1 species
GACAGAGGAUGCAAGCGUUAUCCGGAAUGAUUGGGCGUAAAGCGUCUGUAGGUGGCUUUUUAAGUCCGCCGUCAAAUCCCAGGGCUCAACCCUGGACAGGCGGUGGAAACUACCAAGCUGGAGUACGGUAGGGGCAGAGGGAAUUUCCGGUGGAGCGGUGAAAUGUGUAGAUAUUGGAAAGACCACCGAUGGCGAAGGCACUCUACUGGGCCACGACUGACACUGAGAGACGAAAGCUAGGGGAGCAAAUGGG